CGCGUAGGCGGCCUUCUAAGUCGAACGUGAAAUCCCUGGGCUCAACCCAGGAACUGCGUCCGAUACUGGAAGGCUUGAAUCCGGGAGAGGGAUGCGGAAUUCCAGGUGUAGCGGUGAAAUGCGUAGAUAUCUGGAGGAACACCGGUGGCGAAGGCGGCAUCCUGGACCGGUAUUGACGCUGAGGCGCGAAAGCCAGGGGGAGCAAACGG
rnacentral:rRNA from 1 species